rfam:Candidatus Magasanikbacteria bacterium CG1_02_41_34 cg1_0.2_scaffold_3758_c, whole genome shotgun sequence.
GCCGCCUUAGCUCAGUUGGUAGAGCAAUUCACUCGUAACGAAUAGGUCCGGGGUUCGACUCCCCGAGGUGGCU